CCAGACUCCUACGGGAGGCAGCAGUGGGGAAUAUUGCACAAUGGGGGCAACCCUGACGCAGCAACGCCGCGUGAUUGAAGACGGCCUUCGGGUUGUAAAGAUCUUUAAUCGGGGACGAAUUUUGACGGUACCCGAAGAAUAAGCUCCGGCUAACUACGUGCCAGCAGCCGCGGUAAUACGUAGGGAGCAAGCGUUAUCCGGAUUUACUGGGUGUAAAGGGCGUGUAGGCGGGCAUGCAAGCCAGAAGUGAAAUCUGGGGGCUUAACCCCCAAACUGCUUUUGGAACUGCGUGUCUUGAGUGAUGGAGAGGCAGGCGGAAUUCCCAGUGUAGCGGUGAAAUGCAUAGAUAUCACGCAGAACCCCGAUUGCGAAGGCAGCAUACCGGUGCACAACUGACGCUCAGGCACGAAAGCGUGGGUAUCGAACAGGAUUAGAUACCCGGGUA
rnacentral:rRNA from 1 species